GAGGAGUCCUAGUUAUGACUCUUGUUAACCCAAAAAGAUGGAAGACGAUAUAAAGGGAACGUUCUCUAUUCUGUCGAAUUACAAUUCAAGGUGUUCAGAACCAAACCCAACAGUCAAAAUGGUAUGAGGCCGAGAGAGGAUUGGCAAUAGCGAUAAACUCUACACCAAUCCAGAGUAUAUUGAAAAAUGCAACAAGAAUUCAGUUAGCCGAAGAAACAAAAGAGUAUGAAUCGUGGGAGAGCUGUGCCUUUCAUUUAACAUGCCUUAAGGAGAGCCAAGAGAUGAAGAUAGUCUCAAACAAUGCAGACAAUUUGGAACAUGAGGAAUUUGAUGAAGCUGAUGAAUUUUGAUACUUUGAGAAGUUUUGAGUAAUAAUUAGUUUAGGUUUUAGCUAGUCUUCGUAAACUAUUUUUUCCCUUUUUUAUUAGCUAUUAUUA